UGUUGACAUGAUAAUCGAUUUGUCUCUUAUGAAAUGAGAAAAUGUGUAUUUUAACAAUUAUGUAUUUCAACAGCCCUUGGAUGGUGUAAACUUCCCCCAAAAAAACGUGAAUGGUGUAAUGGUGUAUGGCAUAUGGUGCAAUGGUAGAAGGUGUGUGGUGCUAUGGUGUAUGGUGGAUGGAGAAUGGUGUAAUGGUGUAACGUGCGAUCGGGAAUGGUGUGAAUGAAUCGUGUACGGCAUUUAAAACUAUGCAAAAUAUUGAUAAGAACUGAUUUUUAAUUUUAUACAUUAAUUUACAAUAUUGUGAAAUAAAAAAAUAAUUUUGUA